rnacentral:lncRNA from 1 species
UCUUUUUUUUAUCACUCUCAUGAGCGCUGUGGACCGACUGCAAACGGGCUGCCUCUCUUCUCCGCGGACUCGAUUCUACAGCUCAACUUUGCGAAUAUCAACAGGGAACAGCCAUGGAGGAAAUGGACUUUGAGCGGCGUCGGGAGCUGAGGAGGCAGAAGCGCGAGGAGAUGCGUCUCGAAGCUGAGCGGCUGGCCCGAACUGAGGAUGAUGAGGAGGAAGCGGCUCGAGAGAGGAGGCGCCGAGCCCGACAGGAGCGUAUGAAGAACAGGGAGAACGAGGAGAACAACAACAGUCAGCCUGAGACUACCAUCCUGACCAACAAUCACAGCAUACUGAGGCAACCAGUGGGCAAUCGCAGCCCCAGAGGAACCAUCUCCAAAUCUUGAGCUAGCUUCAUUGUGGGAGUAGUUGAAGGAUUAGCAUGUGCACUUGGG